rfam:Sus scrofa chromosome 6.
UCCCUGGUGACCUAGUGGUUAAGGAUACAGCACUGUCACUGCUGUGGCUCAGGUCACUGCUGUGGCAUGGGUUUGAUUCCUGGCCUGGGAG